rnacentral:lncRNA from 1 species
AUGAGAAGGCGACAAUUUUGAGUUAUCUCCAUCAUCAUCUUGCAACAAAGAGGAGCUGUUUCCACCGCUCCUCCUAGAAAAACUCGAUAAACCACAGCAACGCAUUCUCCUCCGUUUACAAAUGCUGCCAAACAAUCUUGUGCUCCCAAGGGUAGUAUUUGAGCACCAUAAGAUUGGGGGGGAUCAGGACUAAUAUCGUUAAUAUUAAUUGGUCGAUCAUGAUCAUGAUGAUGAUCAUCAUCGUCAUCUGUAACUCCUCCUCCUCCUAAUGUUGCCAUGAAUAAUAUUGCAACAAUAAGCAAUAAAGGCAUUGCCACUGAUGAACCCAUGGUUGGAUCGAAUUAGGAAUUUUAAUUUCUAGUUUUGGGAGGAUCGAGUUGGUGUUUCGUACUGUCGAUGAAAUGCAAUGUAGAAGAUCGAGAUAUAUUAAUU